UACGUAGGGGGCAAGCGUUGUCCGGAUUUAUUGGGCGUAAAGCGCGUGUAGGCGGCCAGGUAGGUCCGCUGUGAAAACCCGAGGCUCAACCUCGGGACGUCGGCGGAAACCAUCUGGCUAGAGUCCGGAAGAGGAGAGUGGAAUUCCCGGUGUAGCGGUGAAAUGCGCAGAUAUCGGGAAGAACACCCGUGGCGAAGGCGGCCCUCUGGGACGGUACUGACGCUGAGACGCGAAAGCGUGGGGAGCGAACAGG
rnacentral:rRNA from 1 species